rnacentral:rRNA from 1 species
AUGUGCACCUGCAACAUGUUUGAGAUGUGUGGGCUGAUCUGCCCACAUAUCAUCCGUGUCAUGGUGCACCUGAACGUGCAAACGAUACCUGCGACUUACAUGCUUCCAAGAUGGUCUAAGAGAGCAACCGACCUUACGCCUGAAUCGGGCGAUGGGCAUAGAGCUAUGCAUUUCAGCGUCCCCACGAGAAACACCCUAAAGUUUAACUCUCUAUGCCGGAAGUUUGGGAAACUCGCUUCUGAUGCAUGCUUCAAUGAUGAAGCUUAUAGUUUUGUCUCUGGGCUAAUUGAUCAGGGCAGUGUUGGGGUUGCUGCAAUAAAAGCUAGAACAACUGAUGGGGUUGCAGGAGACGAAGAAGCCCAAGGUCAUGCAGCAAAUGAACAAGUGUCAGGGGGUACAAGUACAGGUCAGCGGAAUCCACCCCCGUAG